rnacentral:rRNA from 1 species
CCUACGGGAGGCUGCAGUGGGGGAUAUUGCACAAUGGGGGAAACCCUGAUGCAGCGACGCCGCGUGGGUGAAGAAGUAUUUCGGUAUGUAAAGCCCUAUCAGCAGGGAAGACAGAAGACGGUACCUGACUAAGAAGCCCCGGCUAACUACGUGCCAGCAGCCGCGGUAAUACGUAGGGGGCGAGCGUUAUCCGGAUUCACUGGGUGUAAAGGGAGCGUAGACGGCCGUGCAAGCCAGGAGUGAAAGCCCGGGGCCCAACCCCGGGACUGCUCUUGGAACUGUGCGGCUGGAGUGCGGGAGGGGCAGGCGGAAUUCCUGGUGUAGCGGUGAAAUGCGUAGAUAUCAGGAGGAACACCGGCGGCGAAGGCGGCCUGCUGGACCGCGACUGACGUUGAGGCUCGAAAGCGUGGGGAGCGAACAGGAUUAGAUACCCUGGUAGUC